UUUCCCUGGUGUAGAAUUGGUAGUUGAAUUGAACAUACUGUAUACAGUGCUCUGACAACCAUGGUUUCAGUUCUUUUAUCCGCUGUUUGAAAGACUGUACAACUGUUCUGAGCUUUUUAUUUAAUAGUGACAAUUUUCCAGUUAUUGCCAGCACUUGUAGCAUCAAAAUGGCUGCCUUUCAGUAUCUGUUGGAAUGGACUGGAGUUAGCUGGACUGUUAACAAUGGACUUUUCUUCUUUCUCCUGAAACGGCAUUCAAAGGUAAAAGCUGUUUCUUAAUGCUAAAGCUCUCUUUUAGAGUUGAAUGAUCUCGGGGAGGUCCAACAUGUCUUCCCCGAUCUUUAGAGAUGUUAGAAGAGAAGGAUAAAGGAGUCCCCUCGCUCUUUUUUUUUUUUUUUCUCCUCUCAUAUCUUCUUGUGCUCGGUCUAAUCUCCUGAGCAUUUGAGGCCAGAAUGCCGCUGGAAGUGAAUAGAAACUUCAGCCUUAUUGUUUAUGUGCUUCUCAGUGUGACCGCCCUUUGUGUCCCCACCUUGUUUUGUUUUUCAUGCUACUUAACAGUGACAUUGAAUA